rnacentral:rRNA from 1 species
AUUGAACGCCGGCGGCAUGCCUUACACAUGCAAGUCGAACGGUAACAGGUCUUCGGAUGCUGACGAGUGGCGAACGGGUGAGUAAUACAUCGGAACGUGCCCGAUCGUGGGGGAUAACGGAGCGAAAGCUUUGCUAAUACCGCAUACGAUCUACGGAUGAAAGCAGGGGACCGCAAGGCCUUGCGCGGACGGAGCGGCCGAUGGCAGAUUAGGUAGUUGGUGGGAUAAAAGCUUACCAAGCCGACGAUCUGUAGCUGGUCUGAGAGGACGACCAGCCACACUGGGACUGAGACACGGCCCAGACUCCUACGGGAGGCAGCAGUGGGGAAUUUUGGACAAUGGGCGCAAGCCCGAUCCAGCCAUGCCGCGUGCAGGAUGAAGGCCUUCGGGUUGUAAACUGCUUUUGUACGGAACGAAAAGACUCUGGUUAAUACCUGGGGUCCAUGACGGUACCGUAAGAAUAAGCACCGGCUAACUACGUGCCAGCCGCCGCCGUAA